rnacentral:tRNA from 1 species
GGCAAGGUAGCUCAGUUGGUAGAGCAGAGGACUGAAAAUCCUUGUGUCCCCGGUUCGAUUCCGGGCCUUGCCACCA